AGAGUUUGAUCCUGGCUCAGGAUGAACGCUAGCGGGAGGCCUAACACAUGCAAGUCGAACGGGAUUGGGAGCUUGCUCCCAUGAGAGUGGCGCACGGGUGAGUAACGCGUAUGCAACCUACCUUUAACAGAGGGAUAGCCCAUAGAAAUGUGGAUUAAUACCUCAUAGUUCUGAGAGACCGCAUGGUUUUUCAGAUAAAGCUCCGGCGGUUAAAGAUGGGCAUGCGUGACAUUAGUUAGUUGGUGAGGUAACGGCUCACCAAGACUACGAUGUCUAGGGGUUCUGAGAGGAUGAUCCCCCACACUGGUACUGAGACACGGACCAGACUCCUACGGGAGGCAGCAGUGAGGAAUAUUGGUCAAUGGGCGCAAGCCUGAACCCGCCAUCCCGCGUGAAGGAUGAAGGCC
rnacentral:rRNA from 1 species